UGAGUAACCUGCCCUUGACCCUGGAAUAACAGCUGGAAACAGCUGCUAAUACCGGAUAUGACCUCCGAUGGCAUCAUCUGGAGGUGGAAAGCUCCGACGGUCAAGGAUGGGCUCGCGGCCUAUCAGCUUGUUGGUGGGGUGAUGGCCUACCAAGGCGACGACGGGUAGCCGGCCUGAGAGGGCGACCGGCCACACUGGGACUGAGACACGGCCCAGCUCCUAGGAG
rnacentral:rRNA from 1 species